rnacentral:rRNA from 1 species
GAGUUUGAUCCUGGCUCAGGAUGAACGCUAGCGGCAGGCUUAAUACAUGCAAGUCGAGGGGCAGCAUGGUGUAGCAAUACACUGAUGGCGACCGGCAAACGGGUGCGGAACACGUACAGAACCUUCCUUCGAGCGGGGAAUAGCCCAGAGAAAUUUGGAUUAAUACCCCAUAGCAUAACAGAGUGGCAUCACUUUGUUAUUAAAGAUUUAUCACUUGAAGAUGGCUGUGCGGCUGAUUAGGUAGUUGGCGGGGUAACGGCCCACCAAGCCUGCGAUCAGUAACUGGUGUGAGAGCACGACCAGUCACACGGGCACUGAGACACGGGCCCGACUCCUACGGGAGGCAGCAGUAAGGAAUAUUGGUCAAUGGACGAAAGUCUGAACCAGCCAUGCCGCGUGGAGGAUGAAGGUCCUCUGGAUUGUAAACUUCUUUUAUCUGGGACGAAAAAAGGUCUUUCUAGAUCGUCUGACGGUACCAGAUGAAUAAGCACCGGCUAACUCCGUGCCAGCAGCCGCGGUA